rnacentral:rRNA from 1 species
UGAGUAACACGUUGGUAAUCUACCUUUUGCUGGGGCAUAGCCAGAAGAAAUUCUGAUUAACUCCCCAUAAUAUAAAGUUUUCUGCAUGGAAUCUUUAUUAAAACUUAUGCGGCAAGAGAUGAGCCUGCGUCUGAUAGUUAGUUGGUGAGGUAAUGGCUCUACCAAGACGAUGAUCAGUAGGGGGCCUUAGAGGGUGAACCUCCACACUGGAACUGAGACACGGACCAGACUUCUACGGGAGGCAGCAGUGAGGAAUAUUGGUCAAUGGAGGAAACUCUGAACCAGCUACGCCGCGUGUAGGAUGACUGCCUUAUUGGUUGUAAACUACUUUUGUAUAGAAAUAAAACUUCCUACGUGAUAGGAACCUGAAGGUACUAUACGAAUAAGUGUCGGCUAAUUCCGUGCCAGCAGCCGCGGUAAUACGGAAGACACAAGCGUUAUCCAGAUUUAUUGGGUUUAAAGGGUGUGUAGGCUGUUUAUUAAGUCCGUAGUGAAAGCUUACAGCUUAACUGUAAAAUUGCUAUUGAUACUGGUAAACUGGAGUAAGAUUGGAGCAUCUGGAAUGUAUGGUGUAGCGGUGAAAUGCAUAGAUAUCAUACAGAACACCAAUAGCGAAGGCAGGAUACUAAAUCUUUACUGACGCUGAGGCACGAAAGCGUGGGUAGCAAACAGGAUUAGAUACCCUGGUAGUCCACGCCCUAAACGAUGAUCACUAGCUAUUGGAAAAACUAUAUUCAGUGGCUAAGCGAAAGCGAUAAGUGAUCCACCUGGGGAAUAUAAUCGCAAGAUUGAAACUCAAAGGAAUUGACGGGGUUCCGCACAAGCGGUGGAGCAUGUGGUUUAAUUCGAUGAUACGCGAGGAACCUUACCAAGGCUUAAAUGUAUUACGAAUAAGCUGGAAACAGUUUAGUCUAUAUGACGGAAUACAAGGUGCUGCAUGGUUGUCUUCAGUUCGUGCUGUGAAGUGUUUGGUUAAGUCCUAUAACGAGCGCAACCCCUAUUGUUAGUUGCCAUCAGGUAAUGCUGGGGACUCUAACAAAACUGCCGGUGUAAACCGUGAGGAAGGUGGGGAUAAUGUCAAAUCAUCAUGGCCUUUAUGCCUUGGGCUACACACGUGCUACAAUGGCUGGUACAAAGGCAGCCACUGGGUGACCAGGAGCUAAUCUCUAAAACCAGUCUCAGUUCGGAUUGGAGUCUGCAAUUCGACUCUAUGAAGCUGGAAUCGCUAGUAAUCGCGCAUCAGCAAUGGCG